rnacentral:tRNA from 1 species
GUGUCGUUAGGUCAGUUGGUAGAGCAGUUGACUUUUAAUCAAUUGGUCGCAGGGUCGAAUCCUGCACGACCCACCA